UACGUAGGUGGCAAGCGUUGUCCGGAUUUACUGGGCGUAAAGAGCGCGCAGGCGGUCGAUUUAGUCGCGUGUGAAAGCCCCCGGCUCAACUGGGGAGGGUCACGCGAUACUGAUCGACUCGAAGGCAGGAGAGGGUAGUGGAAUUCCCGGUGUAGUGGUGAAAUGCGUAGAUAUCAGGAGGAACACCGGUGGCGAAGGCGGGUCUCUGGGCCGAUACUGACGCUGAGGAGCGAAAGCGUGGGGAGCAAACAGG
rnacentral:rRNA from 1 species